rnacentral:rRNA from 1 species
UACGUAGGGGGCGAGCGUUGUCCGGAGUUACUGGGCGUAAGGGGCAUGCAGGCGGUCGGACGCGUUUCGGGUGACAGCGGGUGGCUUAACUACCCGAGUGGUCGAAAGACGGUUUGACUUGAGGACGCGAGAGGGACACGGAAUUCCGGGUGGAGUGGUGAAAUGCGUAGAGAUCCGGAGGAACACCGAAGGCGAAGGCAGUGUCCUGGCGCGUAACUGACGCUGAGGUGCGAAAGCCAGGGGAGCGAACGGG